rnacentral:rRNA from 1 species
AGCAGCCGCGGUAAUUCCAGCUCCAAUAGCGUAUAUUAAAGUUGUUGCAGUUAAAAAGCUCGUAGUUGAAUUUCGGGAUUAGUACGUUGGUCGUGCCUUCGGUACGUACUGGUGUUACUGAUUCCUACCUUCUGACGAACCAUCAUGUCAUUAAUUUGGUGUGGUGGGGAAUCAGGACUGUUACUUUGAAAAAAUUAGAGUGUUUAAAGCAGGCUCGCGCUUGAAUACAUUAGCAUGGAAUAAUGAAAUAGGACGUUGACCCUAUUUUGUUGGUUUCUAGGAUUGACGUAAUGAUUAAUAGGGAUAGUUGGGGGCAUUAGUAUUCAAUUGUCAGAGGUGAAAUUCUUGGAUUUAUUGAAGACUAACUACUGCGAAAGCAUUUGCCAAGGAUGUUUUCAUUAAUCAAGAACGAAAGUUAGGGGAUCGAAGACGAUCAGAUACCGUCGUAGUCUUAACCAUAAACUAUGCCGACUAGGGAUCGGGGUGAUGUUAUUUUUAAUGACUCAUUCGGCGCC